UGAGUAUGGAACUAAUGUCAAGUCGCAAUGUUCGUUAAAAAUAUAAUUUCUGGGUUUAAAAGUAUGCUGUCGAUGCAUUAUCAAAAUGUUUGAGGUAUUUUGUGGAAAUUAAUUUGCUUCAAGGCUCCAGCAAUGAAAUUUUGUUGUCAAAGACACCUAACCACUUAACAAUUGAUCUCAGAUGGAUUACAACGAAUUCGAAUCGACUUCUCUUAGCAUCUAAACAUCGCGAUAAAAGCAUUACUUUCCAUACUCAAGUGAAAAUUUCGAUCACCAAAAACACUUAGUUCGUAUCCAAAAAUGUAAAAGAAUGUUCGAUUUAUUUUGUCUUUGAGCCAUAUAUAUUUUUGUAAUUGUGAAACAACUCGAUGUCACGCUUUAGAUUUCUCCGUCAAACUCGUAAAAUUUAUCAUUAGAGUUGCUUUAUAAUUAUUUAUCUUGAAGUAUAAACUUUUAUCUUGAAAAGAUCAAGUUCUCUUGUUUCCUCAGGAAUUAACUUUUCAAUGUUAAUUCAUGGGGAAACAUGUUUAAUGUUGUGUUUGUUCACUUGUGUUGAACACAAUGUUAAUUGUUCUCCUUGUGCCAUGUUCUGUUUUCUUCUAUUGUUAUUUAAAUAAGUACAAUAUGCAGUGGUUGUUCUCUUUUUUAUUGUUAUUCAAAUUGUAAUAUUUACAAGUUCUUUUCAAUAAAUUGUUCAUUAAUUAUACAAGAGACUCCUUUUUAAUUAAAAAUUCAAUUCCCAUGGGAAUUGAAAAAAAAAAUAAAAAAAAUCCCUCUACCCCGGCCGGCUCCCCAAGUGCUACCUCUACUUCAAGCAGAAGCAAAAGUACUUCUGCUUAAAGUAGAGGUAGCACUCGGAGAGCCAGCCGGGGUAGCGGGGCGAAGAGAAGACCGACCUUGCAAAUGCUAAUGCAAAUUGCUAAGUUGAUCUUCUCUUGAGAGCAGCCACGCGCAUACCUAGCGAAUGUAAAACAACAAACAAUUAGUAACAAAUACUCGACAUGCAAAUUUUGAAUCCCAUGGCCGAAAUGACAAGUGCCCCCCACUGAUUCCUACCAACUGCCUACCUGCCUCAAUCCUAAGCUGUCUGCCUCGGUCCUAAGCUGUCUGCCUCGUUCCUAAGCUACCUGCAUUCCAUUCGUAACUUCCGCAUUCCUCACCAUCGCACAGACACUCACAACUGUCCAACCCGCCACCAGCCCGAACUGCCCACCCUUAAGACUGAAGGAAUUAAAAUUUUGGUAAAGUAUACAUAAUUAAUUUAAUUAAUUCGGAUAUUUUAGGCCAAACGUAAACAAAUAAAUUAAAGGUUGACGAAAACGAAAGACCGCGUAUAGAAAUAAGGUGAGUUGCUUACUUGCCUCUUUAUACAUGAAAUUUACUUUGAAAUUUAUACGAAAGUGACGAAACGUCUUAACCGGCAUGUUUUUUGCUCCAAAUAUUUUGAUAUGGCAGAAUAAAGUUAGUUUAAAUAAUAAAACUCGAUAAAUUUUCGUGAUUUUGAGAUAUAAAAGAUUUUUUAGCAAAGGCACUGGAUUGUUUUUAACUUAUACUUUCAAAAAUUCUAAUUCCUUUAGUUUAGCCUAACCCCAUGCAUCUUAUACACACGGCGCACACUCUCACACUCCAUACAUUUAGCUAAUAAAUUACCUUAUAAACAAAAAAGCAAAAUGAAAAGAUAAAUUACGUUAUCACUGGCUGUCCUAUAACCCACUUAGACUGAGUUUUUUAUUUGGAUUCGAAACGUAAAACCUUAACUGAAAGGGCAUGGGCUUUAAAUUUUAUCAAUUGUCCGAAGUAAACAUAAACCGUAAACUUACCUAAACCAAAGGUUAGGUUAAAUAAGCAUGAGAAUGCAUAGAGACUUUGGAGUUCUAAAUUUUUUAUAUGUAAAACUUAAGUCAAGUUAUUAGUCAUCAAUUGCCGCACCAGGUAGUUAAAAAAAAGAAGACUUAAUUGUCUUUAGCUAUUGAACUAUGUUUUUUACGACCAUAUAGUACAGUUUAUCUAUAUAGUGCACACGCAUCGAAAUAUUAAGACGCAACUUAAUCGCAAUUCUCAUACUCAUUUAACCGGAACACCUUAAUUCAUUUGCAUGAUACGUCGCAGCUGCUCUCAAUUACUCAAAUUAUUUCCAUAAUUCGCUUUUGUAAACAAUGGCUAAUUGUUCCUGCUUACUAAAACAAACCCGAAAGUAACAAGAUACGUAUUGUAUUUAAUCAAAGAGGAUUCAUUAUAAAGUCA